ACGAAAGAGAUGAUUGACCCUGGCGACGAGGGGAGAGCGGAGAAACCAUCAUGGAGUCGAAGGGUGGACGAAGCUCGACGUCAACAGCGGACGCCGAAUAGUGCAAUACUGCACCAACGCGCAAGGGCGAAAUCAAAACGCCAAUACAACAAAAGCGGGAAAUGCAACGUUAUACUAACAAAGCAAAGGUUACAACGACCAAGAGUACGACGAAGGCCAGGGAAAAAACAACAACAAAAAACAACAAGUUACAAGUGCGACAAAGAAAAAGCAUAAAGGCAAAGAGCGUCAGGGCAUCCCGGGCGCCACCCGAAGGCGAGCCCAUCAGCCAAAGAGGCACGGGAGUGGACGCGGAUCGUGCCGGGGCGGACUUAGCGGCC
rnacentral:lncRNA from 1 species